CCUACGGGGGGCAGCAGUCGAGAAUUAUUCACAAUGGGGGAAACCCUGAUGGUGCGACGCCGCGUGGGGGAAUGAAGGUCUUCGGAUUGUAAACCCCUGUCAUGUGGGAGCAAAUUAAAAAGAUAGUACCACAAGAGGAAGAGACGGCUAACUCUGUGCCAGCAGCCGCGGUAAUACAGAGGUCUCAAGCGUUGUUCGGAAUCACUGGGCGUAAAGCGUGCGUAGGCUGUUUCGUAAGUCGUGUGUGAAAGGCGCGGGCUCAACCCGCGGACGGCACAUGAUACUGCGAGACUAGAGUAAGGGAGGGGGAACCGGAAUUCUCGGUGUAGCAGUGAAAUGCGUAGAUAUCGAGAGGAACACUCGUGGCGAAGGCGGGUUCCUGGACAUUAACUGACGCUGAGGCACGAAGGCCAGGGGAGCGAAAGGGAUUAGAUACCCCAGUAGUC
rnacentral:rRNA from 1 species